UCUAUUGAUCAAAAGUUUAACUUUGUGGUUUUGUUAUUGUUGUGGAAAGUUGAGCUGAUUGUUAGUAUAAUUGAUCUAUUAAAUGAGACUCAUCAUAUGGUAGGUCUUUUCCUGUUAUUUACAUGGCUAAAUAUCACAUGUUAUUUCAAGGGAUACAACUUGCAAUUGUACUUUACUAGUUGUUAGUUUCUUGUGUUACAUGUAAUAUUGGAGUUAUAAAAUAUCAAGAUAUACCGUAUGAUGGGUCUCAUUUAGUAGAUCAAGUGCACUAAAUCAACUUGAUUUGAAGUUUGCGGGGUUGGAUUUUCAAUUUUUUUGAGAAUCUUAAAUGAUAGAAAAUUUUUCUUUCAUGCUUUUUUAUUCUGGAUUGGCACCAUCUGUGAUUCCAAACUGGCAUGGCAUGGAAAUUACAGCUAUAUUGGUAGUAAUUUUUUUGAAAGCUAAAAUUGCUGAAAAGAACUUGUCUAAUUUUAACAUAAUUCUAAUGAUACCAUAGCACUGUUUUUUCAGCAAUAUUUCAUCUUGAUUUUUUACUUAAAAGUAGUACAAUGAUGAUUUCCUAAGAAAGGCACGCAAUGAGUGUUGCAUGUCAUAUUUGCUACACGUCAAAAACUGCAAUUGCAUUCCAAAAGCAUGUUUGUCAUGGCAAAUAUCAUUUUAUCCACUCAAAGCCUAAAUUCCACAAACUUCUGCAUUUGAUGUCCGGCUUCUCGUUAUCACACACAAACAUCUGUGGGUUUAGGUUUGGGUCCAUGGAAAUAGACCAAGCCUUAUGCAUUGCACUAUUAUUGGUUACGCCAAUGCUAUGGACUAACAACCAUUGCACUAUUGUUGAUAGGUGAUGGCAAUCGUUAUUUGUGGCAUUGAUAUCUAUUCUGCUUUAGGUGAUUGCACCAAACAUAGACUGAACAAAAGGGACAUACAGUGGUGGAGAAAUUGGUUCCAGUUACUUUUGAUACAUGUAACCAGUGUUGUAUAUUGCUCGCUUUUCAACUCGGUUUUGGUAUUGUGUUUUGUAAUUAUCACUUACUGCUGGUGUUUUGAAUUAACUAAUCAUUUUUUUCCCUCGAACUUCCCAUAUGUUUUUGUUGGAAGCUAGAAUAAACUACCAUUUGUAUGGCAUUCUGCAAAAAAAAAAACCCCUCAUUUUGCGUAACUGUUCCUAUGUCUUUUGAUUAUUGAUGUAUGCUUAACAGUUUUAAUAACUUAGAAGAGCAUAGAGAAAGUUUUAUGAGGAUUCCAUGGGAGGCUACUGGUUUUUGGUCCUCAUGAGAAGAGCAUCAUGCAACUUCUAACUGAGCAUUGAAUGUCGUAAAGAGAAAGAUUGGCAGUCAUUGCAGACCCAAGAGAGUGCUUUUUUUAUCUGUUUUUUCACAAGAUAAGGUAAUUGGCUGUCGUGUGAUUUUUAUAUGGCUUGCGUGUUUUGACUUUUAGCAUUGCCUUUGUUUGCGCUGUUAAAAUGAAGCUGGAAAGGAAAAUAUUGUAAAUCUUGCCUCUUUUACUUUCUUCUAAGUUCCUGUU